UUUACAGGAAAUUUAAGAAACUUAUUUUAAGAGGGCCUUUGCCUGAAACAGGGUUUGGGGAGUCAGAGUUUACAGGAAGGAUUCAUGGAAUCCACAGAAGGCUAGAAGAUCAGGGUUGAGACACUUGGAACCAAGGAAGCUCUGGAAGCUUAAGAAGUAAGAGGCACAGCAAGUCUCACGGCAAGAAGAACUUGACCUACUGAAUCAGAAACUCUGGAGGUCGGGCCCAGAAAUCUGUCUUUUGGCAUACUUUCCAGGUAA